AGCUUUGCGCAGUGGCAGCAUCGUAGCCAAUGAGGUUUAUCAGAGGCGCAAUUAUUGUUAAUUGGGAAAAAAAAAUGAUG
rnacentral:snRNA from 1 species